GACGAACGCUGGCGGCGUGCCUAAUACAUGCAAGUAGAACGCAGUUGCGAACGGGUGAGUAACGCGUAGGUAACUGCCUGGUAGCGGGGGAUAACUAUUGGAAACGAUAGCUAAUACCGCAUACUACCAGAUGGACCUGCGUUGUAUUGGCUAGUUGGUGGGGUAACGGCGCACCAAGGCAACGGUACCGAGCCGACCUGGGAAGGUGAGCGGCCCCACUUGGAAUGAGACACGGCCCCGACUCCUACGGGGGGCCGCAGUAGGGAAUCUUCGGCAAUGGGGGGAACCCUUACCGGGCAACGCCGCGUGAUUGAAGAAGGUUUUCGGAUCGUAAAGCUCUGUUGUUAAGGAAGCGGUACUUAACCAGAAAGGGACGGCUAACUACGUGCCAGCAGCCGCGGUAAUAC
rnacentral:rRNA from 1 species